CCUACGGGGAGCAGCAGUGGGGAAUAUUGCACAAUGGGGGAAACCCUGAUGCAGCGACGCCGCGUGAGUGAAGAAGUAUUUCGGUAUGUAAAGCUCUAUCAGCAGGGAAGAAACCCACCCUCCGGGGUGGCUGACGGUACCUGACUAAGAAGCCCCGGCUAACUACGUGCCAGCAGCCGCGGUAAUACGUAGGGAGCAAGCGUUAUCCGGAUUUACUGGGUGUAAAGGGCGUGUAGGCGGGCAUGCAAGCCAGAAGUGAAAUCUGGGGGCUUAACCCCCAAACUGCUUUUGGAACUGCGUGUCGUGAGUGAUGGAGAGGCAGGCGGAAUUCCCAGUGUAGCGGUGAAAUGCGUAGAUAUUGGGAGGAACACCAGUGGCGAAGGCGGCCUGCUGGACAUUAACUGACGCUGAGGCGCGAAAGCGUGGGGAGCAAACAGGAUUAGAUACCCUGGUAGUC
rnacentral:rRNA from 1 species